rnacentral:lncRNA from 1 species
UGAAACCACGCCCCCAGCGACACAGCGCGGUAAGCAGCAGCCCGACAGCGGGGAGUCCCGGGAUCGCGGCUGUCCGGUACUCGUGGGAGCCUGCAGCAGCGUACCUGGGGAGAAGAGAAGGGGGCCGAAGCACCAGGUUAUUUUCAUGAACACAAAAAACAACAUUGCUACAACUAAAGGAAAAUCCUAGAGAGAGAACCAGCUGCCUGCAGUGCACUCUCAGCGCGCAACAAAACAAGAGCCUGCAGGGCUUGGGUGAAAGGUAGCGAUACAUCCAUACAGCAAACAGCCAGACCCUGAGCCACUAUUUCUGCAUCUUGGGAGCCCUAACCACUGGGUGAGGAUCGCAACUACAACACAGAACAGCAGUCCAGAGACCCACAUAGCAAAAAAUUAUGAUGCCA